rnacentral:rRNA from 1 species
CCCAGACUCCUACGGGAGGCAGCAGUAAGGGAUCUUGCGACAAUGGGCGAAAGCCUGACGCAGCAACGCCGCGUGCGGGAGGACGGCCUUCGGGUUGUAAACCGCUUUUCGGGGGGAAGAGGAAGGACGGUACCCCCGGAAGAAGUCUCGGCUAACUACGUGCCAGCAGCCGCGGUAAAACGUAGGAGGCGAGCGUUAUCCGGAUUUACUGGGUGUAAAGCGCGUGUAGGCGGUCCUGCAAGUGGUGCGUGAAAGCGCCCGGCUCAACCGGGCGAGGACGUGGGCGAACUGCAGGGCUAGAGGCAGGUAGAGGCGUGUGGAAUUCCGGGUGUAGUGGUGAAAUGCGUAGAGAUCCGGAGGAACACCAGUGGCGAAGGCGACACGCUGGGCCUGGCCUGACGCUGAGAGGCGAAAGCAUGGGGAGCGAACGGGAUUAGAAACCCCGGUAGUCCAUGCCGUAAACGAUGCUGACUAGGUGUGGCGGGUAUGAACUCCUGCCGUGCCGGAGCCAACGUGGUAAGUCAGCCACCUGGGGACUACGGCCGCAAGGUUAAAACUCAAAGGAAUUGACGGAAUCCCGCGGCCA